rnacentral:rRNA from 1 species
UACAGAGGUGGCAAGCGUUGUUCGGAAUUACUGGGCGUAAAGAGCUCGUAGGCGGUCUGUCGCGUCGAAUGUGAAAACCCGGGGCUCAACCCCGGGCCUGCAUUCGAUACGGGCAGACUAGAGUUCGGUAGGGGAGUCUGGAAUUCCUGGUGUAGCGGUGAAAUGCGCAGAUAUCAGGAGGAACACCGGUGGCGAAGGCGGGACUCUGGGCCGAUACUGACGCUGAGGAGCGAAAGCGUGGGUAGCAAACAGG